rnacentral:misc_RNA from 1 species
GAAGGAUCAUUACAGUAGUCACCCAGGUUGCCGCAAGGCCUCCUGGGUAACCUACCACCCUUUGUUUAUUACACUUUGUUGCUUUGGCAAGCCUGCCCUCGGGCUGCUGGCUCCGGCCGGCGAGCGCUUGCCAGAGGACCUAAACUCUGUUUGUCUAUACUGUCUGAGUACUAUAUAAUAGUUAAAACUUUCAACAACGGAUCUCUUGGUUCUGGCAUCGAUGAAGAACGCAGCGAAAUGCGAUAAGUAAUGUGAAUUGCAGAAUUCAGUGAAUCAUCGAAUCUUUGAACGCACAUUGCGCCCCCUGGUAUUCCGGGGGGCAUGCCUGUCCGAGCGUCAUUACAACCCUCAAGCUCAGCUUGGUAUUGGGCCCCGCCGACCCGGCGGGCCCUAAAGUCAGUGGCGGUGCCGUCCGGCUCCGAGCGUAGUAAUUCUUCUCGCUCUGGAGGUCCGGUCGUGUGCUCGCCAGCAACCCCCAAUUUUUUUCAGGUGACCU